UUGGAGGGCAAGUCUGGUGCCAGCAGCCGCGGAUAAUUCCAGCUCCAAUAGCGUAUAUUAAAGUUGUUGCAGUUAAAAAGCUCGUAGUUGAAUUUCGGGGUUCUACCGUUGGUCGGGCAAUAGUCUGUACUGGCGUGUAGAAUUUCUACCUUCUGGGGAACUAUCAUGUUAUUUAUUUAGCGUGGUAGGAAACCAGGACCUUUACCUUGAAAAAAUUAGAGUGUUCAAAGCAGGCUUACGUCUGAAUACAUUAGCAUGGAAUAAUAAAAUAGGACGGUGGUCCUGUUUUGUUGGUUUCUGAAUCACCGUAAUGAUUAAUAGGGAUAGUUGGGGGCAUUAGUAUUCAAUUGUCAGAGGUGAAAUUCUUGGAUUUAUUGAAGACUAACUUCUGCGAAAGCAUUUGCCAAGGAUGUUUUCAUUAAUCAAAGAACGAAAGUUAGGGGAUCGAAGACGAUCGGAUACCGUCGUAAGUCUUAACCAUAAACUAUACCGACUAGGGAUCGGACGAUGUUAAUUUUUCUUGACUCGUUCCGGCACCUUACUGGUAAAC
rnacentral:rRNA from 1 species